rnacentral:rRNA from 1 species
GAUGAACGCUGGCGGCGUGCCUAAUACAUGCAAGUCGAGCGAACGGACGAGAAGCUUGCUUCUCUGAUGUUAGCGGCGGACGGGUGAGUAACACGUGGAUAACCUACCUAUAAGACUGGGAUAACUUCGGGAAACCGUAGCUAAUACCGGAUAAUAUUUUGAACCGCAUGGUUCAAAAGUGAAAGACGGUCUUGCUGUCACUUAUAGAUGGAUCCGCGCUGCAUUAGCUAGUUGGUAAGGUAAAGGCUUACCAAGGCAACGAUGCAUAGCCGACCUGAGAGGGUGAUCGGCCACACUGGAACUGAGACACGGUCCAGACUCCUACGGGAGGCAGCAGUAGGGAAUCUUCCGCAAUGGGCGAAAGCCUGACGGAGCAACGCCGCGUGAGUGAUGAAGGUCUUCGGAUCGUAAAACUCUGUUAUUAGGGAAGAACAUAUGUGUAAGUAACUGUGCACAUCUUGACGGUACCUAAUCAGAAAGCCACGGCUAACUACGUG